rnacentral:tRNA from 1 species
CAAAGAGUAGCUUACGCUAAAGCACUCGACCUACAAUCGAAUAACAUUAAAUAUUAAUCUUUUUGA